rnacentral:rRNA from 1 species
AAGUCGAGCGGACAGAUGGGAGCUUGCUCCCGGAUGUUAGCGGCGGACGGGUGAGUAACACGUGGGUAACCUGCCUGUAAGACUGGGAUAACUCCGGGAAACCGGAGCUAAUACCGGAUAGUUCCUUGAACCGCAUGGUUCAAGGAUGAAAGACGGUUUCGGCUGUCACUUACAGAUGGACCCGCGGCGCAUUAGCUAGUUGGGUGGGGUAAUGGCUCACCAAGGCGACGAUGCGUAGCCGACCUGAGAGGGUGAUCGGCCACACUGGGACUGAGACACGGCCCAGACUCCUACGGGAGGCAGCAGUAGGAAUCUUCCGCAAUGGACGAAAGUCUGACGGAGCAACGCCGCGUGAGUGAUGAAGGUUUUCGGAUCGUAAAGCUCUGUUGUUAGGGAAGAACAAGUGCGAGAGUAACUGCUCGCACCUUGACGGUACCUAACCAGAAAGCCACGGCUAACUACGUGCCAGCAGCCGCGGUAAUACGUAGGUGGCAAGCGUUGUCCGGAAUUAUUGGGCGUAAAGGGCUCGCAGGCGGUUUCUUAAGUCUGAUGUGAAAGCCCCCGGCUCAACCGGGGAGGGUCAUUGGAAACUGGGAAACUUGAGUGCAGAAGAGGAGAGUGGAAUUCCACGUGUAGCGGUGAAAUGCGUAGAGAUGUGGAGGAACACCCAGUGGCGAAGGCGACUCUCUGGUCUGUAACUGACGCUGAGGAGCGAAAGCGUGGGGAGCGAACAGGAUUAGAUACCCUGGUAG